GGUCGCCUCACCGCGUGCACUGGUUCGGCCGGGCCUUUCCCUCUGGGGAACCGCAUGCCCUUCACUGGGUGUGUCGGGGAACCAGGACUUUUACUGUGAAAAAAUUAGAGUGUUCAAAGCAGGCCUAUGCUCGAAUACAUUAGCAUGGAAUAAUAGAAUAGGACGUGUGGUUCUAUUUUGUUGGUUUCUAGGACCGCCGUAAUGAUUAAUAGGGACAGUCGGGGGCGUCAGUAUUCCAUUGUCAGAGGUGAAAUUCUUGGAUUUAUGGAAGACUAACUACUGCGAAAGCAUUCGCCAAGGAUGUUUUCAUUAAUCAGGAACGAAAGUUAGGGGAUCGAAGACGAUCACAUACCGUCGUAGUCUUAACCAUAAACUAUGCCGACUAGGGAUCGGGCGAUGUUAUUAUUUGACUCGCUCGGCACCUUACGAUAAAUCAAANUCUUU
rnacentral:rRNA from 1 species